CCUACGGGAGGCAGCAGUGGGGAAUAUUGCACAAUGGGGGGAACCCUGAUGCAGCGACGCCGCGUGGGUGAAGAAGUCAUUCGUGACGUAAAGCCCUAUCAGCAGGGAAGAAAAUGACGGUACCUGACUAAGAAGCCCCGGCUAACUACGUGCCAGCAGCCGCGGUAAUACGUAGGGGGCAAGCGUUAUCCGGAUUUACUGGGUGUAAAGGGGGCGCAGACGGCGAUGCAAGCCAGGAGUGAAAGCCCGGGGCCCAACCCCGGGACUGCUCUUGGAACUGCGUGGCUGGAGUGCAGGAGGGGCAG
rnacentral:rRNA from 1 species